rnacentral:rRNA from 1 species
AGAGAGAGACAUGCGCGCAUAUCAAUAAGCGGAGGAAAAGAAACUAACAAGGAUUCCCUUAGUAACGGCGAGUGAAGCGGGAAGAGCUCAAAUUUGAAAUCUUCAAGGUUCUACCUUGACGAAUUGUAGUUUAUAGAAGUGUUUUCUGUUAGUGGAGUGGCAAAAGUUCUUUGGAAUAGGACAUCAUAGAGGGUGAGAAUCCCGUAUUUGACCAUUUCUUCCAGCUGUGUGAUACACUUUCAAAGAGUCGGAUUGUUUGGGAAUGCAGUCCAAAAUGGGUGGUAAAUUUCAUCUAAAGCUAAAUAUUGGCGAGAGACCGAUAGCGAACAAGUACCGUGAGGGAAAGAUGAAAAGAACUUUGAAAAGAGAGUUAAACAGUACGUGAAAUUGUCAAAAGGGAAGCGUUUGACACCAGUGUUGUUUUUCCGAAAAUCAAUUACGAAUGUUUUAUUUUUGAGGAGUUAUGACUUCAUCGGCUUGCUCCUUUCUUUAUGAAACUUUCUUAAUGCACUUUUCGGUUAACAAGUCAACAUCAAUUUCUUUUGUUGUAAAAGGGUAUGAGGAAGGUGGCUUUCUUUUCGGAGAAAGUGUUUAUAGCCUUGUGCCUCUGCAAUCGGAGAGAUCGAGGUCUGCAGCGUAGAUCCUUCGGGGUUAGAUACGUUAGAUGCUAAGUUAUAGCUUUUUCAUAGACAACUUGUUGACUAUGAUUUAAUCUUGUAGCUUACUCGCUGACGCUAUUUUACCUACGCUUAGGAUGUUGAUAGUCACAGCGUGUAC